CUGUUCAUAGAAAGGGAGAUGGUUUGGCAUCUUUCCUGACAGGGACAGGAACGGCCUUCAGGCUUACCAACUCUUGUGGUGGUGGUGGUGGUGGAUCUAUAACCUAACUUUUACUUCUUCCGCUUAUACCGACCUGCUUUU